GACGAACGCUGGCGGCGUGCUUAACACAUGCAAGUCGAACGAAGAGCGACGGAAGCUUGCUUCUAUCAAUCUUAGUGGCGAACGGGUGAGUAACGCGUAAUCAACCUGCCCUUCAGAGGGGGACAACAGUUGGAAACGACUGCUAAUACCGCAUACGAUCUAACCUCGGCAUCGAGGAUAGAUGAAAGGUGGCCUCUACAUGUAAGCUAUCACUGAAGGAGGGGAUUGCGUCUGAUUAGCUAGUUGGAGGGGUAACGGCCCACCAAGGCGAUGAUCAGUAGCCGGUCUGAGAGGAUGAACGGCCACAUUGGGACUGAGACACGGCCCAGACUCCUACGGGAGGCAGCAGUGGGGAAUCUUCCGCAAUGGACGAAAGGCUGACGGAGCAACGCCGCGGGAGUGAUGACGGCCUUCGGGUUGUAAAGCUCUGUUAAUCGGGACGAAAGGCCUUCUUGCGAAUAGUGAGAAGGAUUGACGGUACCGGAAUAGAAAGCCACGGCUAACUACGUG
rnacentral:rRNA from 1 species